GCCCAGGUAGCUCAGUUGGUUAGAGCCUCCGACUCAUAAUCGGCCGGUCGCGGGUUCAAGCCCCGCCCUGGGCA
rnacentral:tRNA from 2 species